rnacentral:rRNA from 1 species
GACGACCGCUGGCGGCGUGCUUAACACAUGCAAGUCGAAGAUAGUGGCGAACGGGUGAGUAAUACGUGGGUAACCUGCCCUCCUUUUUGGGAUAAGCCUUGGCAACGGGGUCUAAUACCGAAUAUAGGGGGAUGGGCUCGGGGCCGAUCCGCUUGUUGUUGGGGUGAUGGCCUACCAAGGCGGUGACGGGUAUCCGGCCUGAGGGGGAGACCGGCAACAUUGGGAGUGAGAGACGGCCCAGACUCGUACGGGAGGGAGCAGUGGGGGAUAGUGCACAAGGGGCGAAAGGCGGAUGCAGCGACGCCGCGUGGGUGAUGAAGGCUUGCGGGUUGGAAGCCUCUGUCGAUAUCGAGCGGGUAGGUGGAGAAGAAGCGCCGGCUAACUACGUGCCAGCAGCCGCGGUAAUUC